rnacentral:rRNA from 1 species
AUGCUGAGGCUACUGAUCAUUUGGGCAGCGAUCUUGGGCUGCUGCCAUGGGCAGUCCGAAGUGUCCCGGAGGAACAGCCGGCUGAGGGUGAUGUCACCGCCGGAGCUCGAGGGCACAUACGGCUGUGCCAGCACCGACUUCGGUUUCCCGCAGCACGGUGGCUCCAUGACCGGCGUGGUCGUCUACCCAAGGCGCAACACGAUGGCCUGCACGAGCUUCGAUGACUUUGGCAUCUCUCUCCGUUCUCGCCCAGCCGGCGCGCUUCCUGUUAUCUUGCUCGUCGACAGGGGAGAAUGUUACUACACAACCAAGGUGAGGAAUGGGCAGAAAGCAGGAGCAGCAGCAGUUCUUCUUGUUGAUCAAAUAACUCAACCAUUAUUUACAGUCGACAAAUCAGAAAGCAGCCAGGCAACAAAUGAUUUACAGGAUGUCACCAUUCCUUCAGCACUUAUAACCAGAAGCCUUGGGAACAGUCUCAAGAAAGCAAUUGAUAAUGUCGAUUUGGUUAAUGUAAGCUUCAACUGGGGGGAGUCCCGAUUGUACCCUGAUGAGCGUGCUGAGUAUGAAUUCUGGACAAACAGUAAUGAUGAAUGUGGUCCAAAAUGCGAUAGCCAGGUUGAUUUCCUAAAGAGAUUUAAAGGUGUAGCCCAGACACUUGAGAAGAAGGGCUACACGCAGUUCACUCCUCAUUACAUUACUUGGCAUUGCCCAGAGAGUUACCAAAAUAGCAAAAUGUGCAGGUCCCAAUGUAUCAACUAUGGGAGAUAUUGUGCACCAGACCCGGAACAACAUAGGUAUGAUGGGUGCGAUGUAGUGGUUCAGAAAUUACAUCAACUUUGUGUGUUCAAAGUUGCAAAGAGGACUGGGAAGCCUUGGUUAUGGUGGGACUAUGUGACUCAUUUUGCUAUUAGGUGCUCAAUGAAGGAAAUGAACUACAGUAAAAGAUGUGCUGACAGAGUAAUCGAAUCACUUGGCCUUAAUCAAAAAGAGGUUGACAUGUGUGUUGGUGAUCCUUCCGCGGACGAGGAAAAUCCUGCGCUAAAAGCUGAACAAGACACACAGAUUGGCAAGGGUUCUCAUAGUGAUAUUACUAUGUUACCAACACUUGUAAUCAACAAUAGACAAUACAGAGGGAAACUUGAAAAAGGAGCAGUUCUUAGAGCUCUCUGCACCAGCUUCCAAGAAAAUAAUAAACCAUCUGUUUGCUCAAAUGAAGAAGAAGACAUACAAACCAAUCAAUGCUUGGACAACAAUGGCGGUUGUUGGCAAGAUAUGGCUGCUAACGUGACUGCGUGCAAGGACACCUCCACUGGAACAGUUUGUGAAUGUCCAGUUUUGCAAGGUGUGAAGUACAUUGGUGAUGGUUACAACGACUGCAAAGCUCCCAUGUAUCAAGAUUGGCAGCCGAUCAAGAUCCGUAAUACCCAUACAUAUUCUUCUUAUUUAACAGAGGUUGUCCAUAAGGCCAUUUACAACCUCUUUGCAGGAAUAUUUGCGGCACAUAAGGUGUUCUAA